rnacentral:lncRNA from 12 species
CAAGAACGUCCCGGUCUGACUAGAUGGGGUUUGUAUGUCAGUGCAAUGAGACUUAAUCCUGCUUCCUCUGAAGAAAGCCUGGAUCCUGUGGGAGAAUCUAUCCAUCACCCAAACCCACGUACGACACAACCUGAAUAAACACAAGUUGGAUUCACCAGAAGAUUUGCCAGCAAUGCAAU